GCGGGUAUAGUUUAAUGGUAAAACAUUAGCUUCCCAAGCUGAAGAUGCGGGUCCGAUUCACGCUACCCGCU
rnacentral:tRNA from 2 species